rnacentral:rRNA from 1 species
UCAUGGCUCAGAUUGAACGCUGGCGGCAUGCCUUACACAUGCAAGUCGAACGGCAGCGCGGGGGCAACCCUGGCGGCGAGUGGCGAACGGGUGAGUAAUACAUCGGAACGUGUCCUGGAGUGGGGGAUAGCCCGGCGAAAGCCGGAUUAAUACCGCAUACGCUCUGUGGAGGAAAGCGGGGGAUCUUCGGACCUCGCGCUCAAGGGGCGGCCGAUGGCAGAUUAGCUAGUUGGUGGGGUAAAGGCCUACCAAGGCGACGAUCUGUAGCUGGUCUGAGAGGACGACCAGCCACACUGGGACUGAGACACGGCCCAGACUCCUACGGGAGGCAGCAGUGGGGAAUUUUGGACAAUGGGGGCAACCCUGAUCCAGCAAUGCCGCGUGUGUGAAGAAGGCCUUCGGGUUGUAAAGCACUUUUGUCCGGAAAGAAAACCUCCGUCCUAAUACGAUGGGGGGAAUGACGGUACCGGAAGAAUAAGCACCGGCUAACUAACGU